AGUAACACGUGAGCAACCUGCCCCUGACUCUGGGAUAAGCGCUGGAAACGGCGUCUAAUACUGGAUAUGUGACGUGACCGCAUGGUCUGCGUCUGGAAAGAAUUUCGGUUGGGGAUGGGCUCGCGGCCUAUCAGCUUGUUGGUGAGGUAAUGGCUCACCAAGGCGUCGACGGGUAGCCGGCCUGAGAGGGUGACCGGCCACACUGGGACUGAGACACGGCCCAGACUCCUACGGGAGGCAGCAGUGGGGAAUAUUGCACAAUGGGCGCAAGCCUGAUGCAGCAACGCCGCGUGAGGGAUGACGGCCUUCGGGUUGUAAACCUCUUUUAGCAGGGAAGAAGCGAAAGUGACGGUACCUGCAGAAAAAGCGCCGGCUAACUACGUGCCAGCAGCCGCGGUAAUACGUAGGGCGCAAGCGUUAUCCGGAAUUAUUGGGCGUAAAGAGCUCGUAGGCGGUUUGUCGCGUCUGCUGUGAAAUCCCGAGGCUCAACCUCGGGCCUGCAGUGGGUACGGGCAGACUAGAGUGCGGUAGGGGAGAUUGGAAUUCCUGGUGUAGCGGUGGAAUGCGCAGAUAUCAGGAGGAACACCGAUGGCGAAGGCAGAUCUCUGGGCCGUAACUGACGCUGAGGAGCGAAAGGGUGGGGAGCAAACAGGCUUAGAUACCCUGGUAGUCCACCCCGUAAACGUUGGGAACUAGUUGUGGGGUCCAUUCCACGGAUUCCGUGACGCAGCUAACGCAUUAAGUUCCCCGCCUGGGGAGUACGGCCGCAAGGCUAAAACUCAAAGGAAUUGACGGGGACCCGCACAAGCGGCGGAGCAUGCGGAUUAAUUCGAUGCAACGCGAAGAACCUUACCAAGGCUUGACAUAUACGAGAACGGGCCAGAAAUGGUCAACUCUUUGGACACUCGUAAACAGGUGGUGCAUGGUUGUCGUCAGCUCGUGUCGUGAGAUGUUGGGUUAAGUCCCCGCAACGAGCGCCAACCCUCGUUCUAUGUUGCCAGCACCGUAAUGGUGGGAACUCAUGGGGAUACUGCGGGGGUCAACUCCGAAGAAGGUGGGGAUGACGUCAAAUCAUCAUGCCCCUUAUGUCUUGGG
rnacentral:rRNA from 1 species